rnacentral:rRNA from 1 species
GACGAACGCUGGCGGCAGGCCUAACACAUGCAAGUCGAGCGGUAACACAGGGAGCUUGCUCCCGGGUGACGAGCGGCGGACGGGUGAGUAAUGUCUGGGAAACUGCCUGAUGGAGGGGGAUAACUACUGGAAACGGUAGCUAAUACCGCAUAAUGUCGCAAGACCAAAGAGGGGGACCUUCGGGCCUCUUGCCAUCAGAUGUGCCCAGAUGGGAUUAGCUAGUAGGUGGGGUAACGGCUCACCUAGGCGACGAUCCCUAGCUGGUCUGAGAGGAUGACCAGCCACACUGGAACUGAGACACGGUCCAGACUCCUACGGGAGGCAGCAGUGGGGAAUAUUGCACAAUGGGCGCAAGCCUGAUGCAGCCAUGCCGCGUGUAUGAAGAAGGCCUUCGGGUUGUAAAGUACUUUCAGCGGGGAGGAAGGUGUUGAGGUUAAUAACCUCAGCAAUUGACGUUACCCGCAGAAGAAGCACCGGCUAACUCCGUGCCAGCCGCCGCCGUAA